rnacentral:lncRNA from 1 species
CUUCUACGGACAGAUUCUUUUAUUGUUGUUGUUUACUCAUUUUCCCCAGAAUAUUUCUUUUCUUUGGACUUUAUUUUAUAGUUAGGCUCUGCUCCAAGGAUGGCCAUGAAGGAGCACUGAGUCAAGCUUUAGGCUUUUUCACCUAGAUCUUCUCAGAGCUAAUUCUGGGGUUAGGAAAAUUCCCACUGCUUUCAAGAUGGUAUGAUUUAGGGAGAAGUGUGAUCACCACUAACCAAGGAAGCACCUUUGAUCCCUUUCAGCUGCAACUACUACUGUUUCUCUGGACUACUGACCUAUUGGGACUAAAAGAGAUUUUCUCCAUCUAGAACUGUGCUCUGAUAACAGCUCUGUUGGAAAAUCACGCUAUCAACAAAAACCGGACACACACAAGGACACAGGAACAAGCAGUUGGAUCAAAAAGACAGUCACAAGAGAGGGAAACGAGUCCAACUCACAAGGUCCAUCCAAGGAGCUUAGACCAACCAUCUCCAGCUUCAACUGUCCCCAAGGAAAAGCAACUCUGUCACUCUCCUAGAAUUGUGGAACCUUCCUGCUUCUUCCUUUGCAGCAGCCCCUCCUGCUCAUUUCCUUAUAACUGGAGAGAGAAUUUCAUCAGUUGUUCAGAAAAUUUUGUCACUGUCUUUUUUUCUGAAGUUUUCAGCUAUUUCAUCUUUCUGUCCAAGUGCUGUAAUAAACACUAGUCAUCAUAAUCCUAUUUUGACUUCUGUAGAUCUUAAAUUUUAUUACUCUUCACCCUAUUUCUUCCCUCUGGUUAUAGCAGUUCCUCAUAUAACCAGAUCCUCUACUGUUCAAUAUUAUUCC